AAGGUUUACUAUUCAUUAUGGCUGAUAUUUAAUGCAUCAUAUUAAUUGCUUUGCAAUUAGUUCAAGUACUUAAUGAGGAUUUUGGACUUUUUAGAGUUGUUGACCAACCUUGUAAAGUGCCUUAAUCAUUGUGUGUUUAUGCACGAGAAUGAGGAUGGAGUGUUUAUCAAAUGGUCUGUGUGAUAUCUUGAUAAGUAUUGUUAAUAUUUAAUUUACACUCUUCUAUUUACCAUGACAACUGCCUGAUCAGCAGGUUCGAGGUAUAUAUGAAAAUUGAAUUACCAUAAUCAUAUAUUUUUCACUUCUUUUUUCUCUGUUCUUUUGGUUUAAAACAAAAUGUAACUAUAUAUGCACUUUUGUAAGAGAUAUGUCAAGUAACUCUGCAACAAAAUGCUACUGAAGCAUGACUGUUUAAUUUGUGAAUACAAAUAUAUAAAUCUUGACAUGUUCUGUUAGAGUAUGAUUUUCUUUUUCUCAUUUUGGAGUGAAUUUAUUUUACAUUAAUAAUUUAGAGAGAGAGAAAGAGAGAGAGAGAGCAUAAUGAAUGAGUUUUAGUUGUACUGUUUCAAGAGAACAAAAUUAUGUGCAAUAACUUUAUCAAAUAAAACAUCUUCAAUU
rnacentral:sRNA from 1 species